GUCUUACUCUCUGUGGGAGAUAGAGUAGCUUUCAGUCCAGGAUAAGUGGUAUGACAUGCACAGAACACAUGAUGGAAAGUGAGGCCAUCGGAAGAUACUGAUAAAAGAGUUGUGGCAUUCAAGGAGGAGACGAAUUACAUCUUGGAGAGAGCAGGGAAAGUGCUAGGAAGAAGGUGCCAGCAUUAAGGUAAGCCUUAAACAUACAUAGGGCAUAGCCAUGCCGUGAUGGGCUAGGUCAGUGGUCCAACAGAAGCUAGCAUAAGCAGAGGCAGGGGGAAGCAUGUGACACGUUGUCAGCCCAGCCAGGAGCUUGAUUUGGCAGGAAGGAAAUGAUGAGACCCUGGAUGGAUAGGUAGACUGGGUCAGACCACGAUAAGCCUUGAAUGCCAGACUUCAGAAAUUUGGCUUCAGUGGGUGAACAAUGCAGUAAUUAAAAGGUUUCGUGAAAAUGGCAGACUUAACAUUAAAGUCAUUGUGUUGAUUUGUUUUGUUUGCUAAGAUUUUAGUAAGAUUUAUAUACAUGUGUUCCUCACUGGUUGUGAAGUUCUUGAAGAAGGAGACCAUGUUGGAAUCAGUUUUGUAGCCCCGGCAGAGUAUCUGACAUCUAGUGUGAUCAGGAUUAUGUGAGGAGAGUGGCAUGUAGGAAGGAUUGGAGUGGGCAAAGAGAAGCUGAAGACAGAGCACUUCAGACCCCAGUGAUAUAGGGACUGAGCUAAGGUUGAAGCAACUGGAGGGACAGUUUCUUUAUCCAUUCAGGCUGCUAUAACAAUAUGCCUUAGACCCAAUAAUUUACACACAACAGAAACUUAACUCUUCACAGUUGUAGAGACUGGGAGGUGUAAGAUCAAGGUGCUGGCAGAUUCUGUCUGGUAAGGGUUUGUUCCUCAUAAAAGGGCUCCUUCUUGCUGCAUCCUCAGGUGGUGGAAGGGAGGAACAAGCCCCUUGGGCCUCUUUUAUAAGGGCAGUAAUCCCAUUCAGAAUCACUUCCCAAAGGCCUCACUUCUUCAUACCGCCACCUUGGGAAUUAGGUCUCAAGCUAUGAAUUAGGACAUAAACAUUCAGACCAUAGCAGAAAGAAAAGGAAGCAUGGGCAGUGCUGAGAUGGAUUCCACAGGACUGUGCUAGAAGGAAAAGGAAGCAUGGGCAGUGCUGCAGAGAGAGAUUCCACGGGACUGUGUUUAGUUGUGCUCUUUCUUUUUCCAUGGCAAAGCUUGCUGUUUAGGGAGUUAAUUUCAGAUUGGAAUAUGAGAAGAAAAUUUAUUUAUGUGACUCUCUUCCUUUUGGGCAUUUUCUUUGUUUACGUGACUUUUUUUUUAAGAAAGUUAAAUUUUAAAUAAUUUAUGAAGCUAGAGUUUGGGGAAUUUAUAUGUAUAAAAUUUCCUUCAAGCUUCUAGAGUAUCAGAGUAUUUGUGAAUGAUAAAAAGAAAGGUAGGGGAAUGAGAAAGACCAGUUUAUUAUGAAGGCCAAAAUUUAUUGUAUCUAUUUCUAUGUGACCUUUGAUAACAAAAAUCAAGGACUUUUGUUUCCCUUUUAGGUGACAGGAGCCUGUUGCCUAUUUCUGGCUGGGAAAGUAGAAGAAACACCAAAAAAAUGUAAAGAUAUCAUCAAAACAGCUCGUAGUUUAUUAAAUGAUGUACAAUUUGGCCAGUUUGGAGACGACCCAAAGGAGGAAGUAAUGGUUCUGGAGAGAAUCUUACUGCAGACCAUCAAGUUUGAUUUACAGGUAGAACAUCCAUACCAGUUCCUACUCAAAUAUGCAAAGCAACUCAAAGGUAAGAAGAAAGUUUUCAGAAGAAUUUUUUCAUUCUGAAAUCAAGUCUUUAUAAUUUGAUGAUACUCAAAUUACGCUUCUCAAAAGAGGAAAACAAAGUUUGAUGUGUAAAAUACCAAAGACAUGGCUUGUUCAGUCAAUUCAGUAUUGCAGCUGUUAAUGCUGUUUCCUUUUAUGUAUAAACAGGCCCUGUCAUCCAGUUGCCAAGUGAUAGGAGAGGCAGGAAAAUGAGUCAGAAUUUUUUAAAUGGACUAAUAAACUUAGCCUUGGAGCCAGGUUUUCCAUACAUGGUGGUUCAGCGUAGGUCAUGAGGAGGAAGAAGGGGUAGGACGUGGACCCACAUCAUUCAUCCUUGUUUCCCACGCAAAAGCUCUUUGCUGUGUAUUUGAGUGGUGCUGAACACAUGGUAGGUUUUUAAUAAAUACUUGAUGCUGCCUGUGAAUUUUUUUUUUCUAUUGCUAUUAAUUUACCUUUUUGUCCCCAUUUCUAGGUGAUAAAAACAAAAUUCAAAAGUUGGUUCAAAUGGCAUGGACAUUUGUAAAUGACAGGUAUACAUGUUCAAAUGUUGAUUAAUUAUAGUAUUUUAAAAUAGGCAGAGACUUCAUGGGCCAUUUCAUCUAAACCCCUCAUUUUGUGUCAGAAGAAACUGACUUGCCCUGGCUUGAGGAGCCAGUUAAUGGCAAAGCUGGGACUGACGUCCAGGUCAUCUGCUUCCCAGCAGAGGGUUUCCUUCUGCCCUGCCGUGUCAUGGUGGUGUGAGGUGCUGAAAUUUUAUCACCAGUCUGAAACAUAAGUCCAAAACAAUACACUGGAGAAUUUUGAAAACUAAUUACUUAGAGCCGCAUUUGGUUCUGCAAAAAUAUACUUCCUGGUAUAGUUUUAGAGCCUUGACACUCUUUUGAGAGGCCAGGGAUCUAAUGAGGGGCCAUGGUGGGAAACAGAAUGCCUGUGAAUGGAGUUGCUGCCAGCCCCAUCCCACUGCAGUCAGUGAAGCUUCUCUUACAUUUGACUUCCCCCAUAAGAUUUCAUUUGAAGAAACAGUUGAGUGGCUAGGAUUUCAACAGUUUAAAUAACAUAAGUCAUUUUCAUUGAUGUAGCAAUUUUUGGAUGUGCUAGAAUUCUUCUGAUUCUUUAAGGAAUAGAGAAAUUACUAACUAUGGUUAAAGUAACUUAGUUGGGUACCUUUAGAAGAGUAAAGACUUGAGUUUUUUUAUUUAUAGUACUUUAAUUAAAUUUAGGGGAGAAUAAGCAAAUUAAUGGUUAGUUAUGGCAUCUCCAUGCACUGGUUUAAUCAUAAAUAUUAGAUCAUAUAAUCUAACCUUUUUUUUUCUUGUUGAACUAGUCUCUGCACCACCUUGUCACUGCAGUGGGAACCAGAGAUCAUAGCAGUAGCAGUGAUGUAUCUCGCAGGACGUUUGUGCAAAUUUGAAAUACAAGAAUGGACCUCCAAACCCAUGUAUAGGAGAUGGUGGGAGCAGUUUGUUCAGGAUGUCCCAGUCGACGUUUUGGAAGACAUCUGCCACCAAAUCCUGGAUCUUUACUCACAAGGAAAACAACAGAUGCCUCAUCACACCCCCCAUCAGCUGCAACAGCCCCCAUCUCUUCAGCCUACACCACAAGUGCCGCAAGUACAACAGUCACAGCCGUCUCAAAGCUCCGAACCAUCCCAGCCCCAGCAGAAGGACCCCCAGCAACCAGCCCAGCAGCAGCAGCCAGCCCAACAGCCCAAGAAACCCUCUCCGCAGCCCAGUUCUCCCCGACAGGUUAAGCGAGCCGUGGUGAGUGGGCUAAAGUAGGCCCUGGGUAGAGCAGUCUUUCCAGGUGGCAGCAACACCUGAGCACUGUUCCCAUUUCUACGCGAGCACAGGGAACACCGGAAGCAGGGGGUGUUCACCGAAACUCGCAGUCCGACUGCUCGUCGGUGGGGAGCCUGAAAACGAAGGUGCUCCAAGGACAGGCUGCCUCUGAGAACCAGGAGGGGGCUCUCUGCCCGGCUCCAGCCCUGCUGCCUGUUUCAUCCCUGUCAGGGUUCUGAAGCCUGUCAGGGUGUCGUUGCCAUGUCCUAGCAGUGUCGUUGUGCAUGCUGCUUCUAUGCAGCUGCCUGACCCCAAACAGUGGACCGUUUCCUGCACCCAAGUGGUCCUGAAACUUAGUGUUUACUCAGAACUCACCAUUCAGGAAAGCUAGUCAUUCUGUCUUAUUUGGUAAAUGGAAAGAGGAGGGAGCAGAAAUGAUGAUCUGGUAGGUGCCGUGGUUUGCCCUGAAAGUUCAGGCUAGAAAUAAUUUUUGUCCGAGGCUGAUUCUGGUGGUACCUGGAUAAUCCAUUUUUUUCUCGUCAUACUCAGGAUCCCAGUUAACAAUUGUAUAUUUUCUUUUGUAACAGGUUGUUUCUCCCAAAGAAGAGAACAAAGCAGCAGAACCACCACCACCUAAAAUCCCCAAAAUUGAGACCACUCACCCACCGUUGCCUCCAGCCCACCCACCUCCAGACCGGAAGCCUCCCCUCGCUGCUGCCUUAGGUGAGGCUGAGCCGCCGGGCCCUGUGGAUGCCACUGACCUCCCCAAAGUCCAGAUUCCCCCUCCGGCCCACCCGGCCCCUGUGCACCAGCCACCGCCGCUGCCACACCGGCCCCCGCCCCCGCCCCCCUCCAGCUACAUGACCGGGAUGUCCACCACCAGCUCCUACAUGUCUGGAGAGGGCUACCAGAGCCUGCAGUCCAUGAUGAAGACCGAGGGACCCUCCUACGGCGCCCUGCCCCCCGCCUACGGCCCACCUGCACACCUGCCCUACCACCCCCAUGUCUACCCGCCCAACCCGCCCCCGCCACCUGUGCCUCCUCCCCCAGCCUCCUUCCCCCCACCUGCCAUCCCACCCCCUACUCCUGGCUACCCCCCACCCCCACCCACCUACAACCCCAACUUCCCACCCCCACCCCCACGCCUCCCGCCUACCCACGCAGUCCCCCCUCAUCCUCCUCCAGGGUUGGGCCUGCCGCCAGCCAGCUACCCACCUCCUGCCGUCCCCCCUGGAGGACAGCCUCCUGUGCCCCCGCCCAUUCCCCCACCCGGCAUGCCUCCAGUUGGGGGGCUGGGGCGGGCAGCCUGGAUGAGAUAACGUGAGCCUUUUUUCCCUCUUUGUUUUUUUAACAAGAUUUUCUAAUCGACUUGCAGAGUAGUUGAAGUGGGUAAGCAGCAGGGUACCUUGUAUAAUGCGCGACAGUUGCAGUAUGGGAAGAAUGGACUGGGCCCCGGGAUAAAAUCAGAGUGGUCCUCACAUCUAGAGGACGGGGACAACCAGCUUUCAGAGUAGCCUCAUCAGCGCCCUUGCAGUCUGACUGUGUACACUUGGUUCAGCUAAUGUCUGAGAGUCCUGCACUGGGUUACUUUAUACUAGUGAAGAUGUUAACCAGCCAUAUUGGCUCAAUAAAUAGCUUCAGUAAGGAGUUAAUUUCCUUCUAGAAAUCAGUGCCUACUUUUCCUGGAAAGUCAGUUUUAAAUAGUCCAAUUCCAUCUGAAGUCAAGCUGUUGCCAUUUUCACUCAGUGACAUUCUCUCCCAUGACACGCAGAAGGGGCAGAAGAGCCACAUUUUUGAUUUAUACAUGUUUGCAUCCUUUGUAUUAAAAUUAUUUUGAAGGGGUUGCCUUGUUGGAUGGCUUUUUUUUUCCUCCAGGGAGAAGGGGAGAAAUGUACUUGGAAAGUAAUGUAUGUUUACAUCUAUUUGCAGAUUCCUGUACAUAGAGAUAUAUUUUUUAAGUGUGAAUGUAACAACAUACUGUGAAUUCCAUCUUGGUUACAAAUGAGACUCCUUCAGUCAGUUAUCCAAAUAAAAGCAGUUCUGAAACC
rnacentral:sRNA from 1 species